GGACCGAUAGCUCAAUGGUUAGAGCUCCCGGCUCAUAACCGGAUGGUUCUGGGUUCAAGUCCCAGUCGGUCCACCA
rnacentral:tRNA from 1 species